GAGAUUUAUGUUACAAGCCAAGUAAGAGAAUUGCAUAUCGGGUCUCUAAUCUUGGUAGAGACAGUUAUAUGCUUUCGCUGUAAGGGCAGUUCAAUAAGCAUGUUUCCUACGUUUAUCCACCUCACUCCAGACGGGAUGAUUCUUCAGUUCCCUGGGAAAAAUCGUAAACUGAAUUGGAGUAGAAACAGGACAUAUUCAAGUAUCAAGGUCACAAGUCUUAAAGGACUUAGAUUAUCAUGGUCACCAAGAGAUAAUAUGCAUAUUUUUUUAUUUAU